GACGAACCGUGCAAACGUUGUUCGGAAUCACUGGGCGUAAAGGGCGCGUAGGCGGCCCGCGCAGGCGUGCGGUGAAAGCCCGGGGCUCAACCCCGGGUCGGCCGUGCGGACUGCGGGGCUCGAGCACUGUAGGGGCAGAUGGAAUUCCGGGUGUAGCGGUGGAAUGCGUAGAGAUCCGGAAGAACACCGGUGGCGAAGGCGGUCUGCUGGGCAGUAGCUGACGCUGAGGCGCGACAGCGUGGGGAGCAAACAGG
rnacentral:rRNA from 1 species